rfam:Daphnia pulex DAPPTscaffold_29_Cont1704, whole genome shotgun sequence.
AAGAUCAUACUUCACAGGAUCAUUUCUGUAGUAUAUCUUGACUUGUUUCCCACCAGAAACUUGUCUCCUUUCCACCCACGAUGACGAGUAACGACGCUGGCUUCUGAGCGUGAAGCAGGUCGGGAGUGUAACUACUUCGGUAGUAUCUACUCUCGGCCAUUGAGGACCGUUUCCGGUAUCUCCUAGUGGGAAACUGGAAGGAAAUCAGCGUGUUCAGAGUGGU